rnacentral:rRNA from 1 species
AAAACCGUACCACUUUCG